AAAUUGAAGAGUUUGAUCAUGGCUCAGAUUGAACGCUGGCGGCAGGCCUAACACAUGCAAGUCGAACGGUAACAGGAAGCAGCUUGCUGCUUCGCUGACGAGUGGCGGACGGGUGAGUAAUGUCUGGGAAACUGCCUGAUGGAGGGGGAUAACUACUGGAAACGGUAGCUAAUACCGCAUAACGUCGCAAGACCAAAGAGGGGGACCUUCGGGCCUCUUGCCAUCGGAUGUUCCCAGAUGGGAUUAGCUAGUAGGUGGGGUAA
rnacentral:rRNA from 1 species